rnacentral:rRNA from 1 species
AGUUCGAUUCUGGCUCAGAUUGAACGCUGGCGGGAUCUUUACAUGCAAGUCGAACGGCAGCACGGACUUCGGUCUGGUGGCGAGUGGCGAGCGGGUGAGUAAUGUAUCGGAACGUGCCUAGUAGCGGGGGAUAACUACACAUGGCAACAACUAAUACCGCAUGCCCUUCGGGGAAAACAGGACCUUCCCGGGCCUCGCACUAAUGGAAGCGGCCGAUAUCGGAUUAGCUAGUUGGUGGGGUAACGGCUCACCAGGGCGGCGAUCCGUAGCUGGUUUGAGAGGACGACCAGCCACACUGGGACUGAGACACGGCCCAGACUCCUACGGGAGGCAGCAGUGGGGAAUUUUGGACAAUGGGGAAACCCUGAUCCCGGCCAUCCCGCGUGUGCGAUGAAGGCCUUCGGGUUGUAAAGCACUUUUGGCAGGAAGAAACGGCACGGGAUAAUACCCCGUGCAACUGACUGUGCCGCAGGGCACUUACCGGCUAACUACGUGCCAGCAGCCGCGGUAAUACGUAGGUGCAAGCGUUAAUCGGAAUUACUGGGCGUAAAGCGUGCGCAGGCGGUUCGGAAAGAAAGAUGUGAAAUCCAGAGCUUAACUUUUGGAACUGCAUUUUUAACUACCGAGCUAGAGUGUGUCAGAGGAGGUGGAAUUCACGCGUGUAGCAGUGAAAUGCGUAGAUAUGCGGAGGAGCACCGAUGGCGAAGGCAGCCUCCUGGGAUACUUACUGACGCUCAUGCACGAAAAGCGUGGGGCAAACCAGGAUUAGAUACCCUGGUAGUCCACGCCCUAAACAGUAUCAACUAGCUGUUGGGGCCUUCGGGCCUUGUAGCGCAGCUAACGCGUGAAGUUGACCGCCUGGGGAGAGUACGGUCACCGAUUAAAACUCAAAGGAAUUGGCAGGACCCACUGAAAGCGGUGGAUGAUGUGGAUUAAUUCGAUGCAACGCGAAAAACCUUACCUACCCUUGACAUGUCUGGAAUCCCGAAGAGAUUUGGGAGUGCUCGCAAGAGAACCGGAACACAGGUGCUGCAUGGCUGUCGUCAGCUCGUGUCGUGAGAUGUUGGGUUAAGUCCGCAACGAGCGCAACUGUCAUUAGUUGCUACGAAAGGGCACUCUAAUGAGACUGCCGGUGACAAACCGGAGGAAGGUGGGGAUGACGUCAAGUCCUCAUGGCCCUUAUGGGUAGGGCUUCACACGUCAUACAAUGGUCAGGACAGAGGGUCGCCAACCCGCGAGGGGGAGCCAAUCCCGAAACCCGAUCGUAGUCCGGAUCGCAGUCUGCAACUCGACUGCGUGAAGUCGGAAUCGCUAGUAAUCGCGGAUCAAGCAUGUCGCGGUGAAUACGUUCCGGGUCUUAGCUACCGCCCGUCACACCAUGGGAGUGGGUUUUACCAGAAGUAGUUAGCCUAACCGUAAGGAGGGCGAUUACCACGGUAGGAUUCAUGACUGGGGUGAAGUGGCAACAAGGUAA